rnacentral:misc_RNA from 1 species
AAAGAACUCAAAGUUCUAGCUUUGGCUUUGGGUAUCCCAUCAUUGCCACAAUCACUUGAUGUCCUCAAGAAUCUUCGAACCUUACGUCUUGCGAAGUUUAAGUCAGGACAGAUACAUACCAUUGGGGCUCUAGUGAAACUAGAAAUACUCGAAAUUGAUACUGGUUAUUUAUGGGAGUUGCCUGAAGAAAUUGGACUACUAAAAAAUCUAAGGUUGCUGGACUUGAGGAGGGUCAUUAACCUUCGAUACAUUCCGCCAGGUGUAUUAUUAGGGCUGUCCAAACUAGAAGAGUUGUAUGUGACAGACAAGUUCAUGAUGAAGUGGGAAUCCAAGGAUGGAGACAAAAUCAAUGCAAGCCUCAGUGAGCUAGAGACUCAUCAUAUAACUGCAUUGGAAAUUACUGUGCCAAAAGCCUCCAUUUUGCCUAAAGAUUCAGUCUUUAGAAACUUAAUAAGAUUUAAAAUUUUUAUAGGUCACAAGUAUGCAUAUGGAUCAUUAGUUGACAGAGACUCAGUGAAUGUGUUGCAUCUUGAAGGAGAAGCUAAUGAUAUUAAAGAAAAUGGGAUCUUUGCUUUGUUGAUGUGGAAAACUGAAGUCUUGAAUUUGGUAGAAGUGCAAAAUUUGAAGAAAGUUCUCUACGAGCUAGAAGAUUAUGGUUUUCCAGAUUUGAAGAGAUCAUCAGUUGAUGAAUGUGUUGAACAAGAAUUCUUAGUUGAUGCAUUAGAGAGGGUUCCACGAUCACAAGAAAUACGGCUUUCAUACUUCAGGAACUUGAGAGAAGUAAAAAUUCGUUCAUGUGGUAAGUUGAAGUUCUUCAUUCCACUAUCCAUGGCUAGAGGAUUGAGACAACUUCAUAGCAUAUUUAUAGCGGGGUGCGAAGAGAUGGAGGGAAUUUUCAACAAAAACGAAGUGGAUGAUGAGAUUGAGUUUCCUGAACUUAAGGAUUUGAGGCUGGAUCACCUUCCAAAAUUCCAUGGUUUCAUCAUCAACAAAUCAUUGACCUGCAAGGAUAUGGAACAGCCAAGUGCAUCUCAAAUGAACAAUGGGACAGAAACUGAGCUUCCCCAAUAUCAAGCAAGGAUUGGACUAGUGGAAAUGUUUUCUACAUUGUUUUCAUCACUUUGUCCACGACUGCCAAAUUUGCAGGAGCUAAACUUGGAUAGUUGCAGUUUUCUAAAAGUGGUUUUUCCUCCCGCUAUAGCCCAACAACUGGUGCAACUUAAAAAGCUGAUUAUCCAUGGAUGUUCUGAGAUGGAAUUUAUUGUUGCAGAAGAACAAGAAGAAGAAAAAAACAAGAGAAUAA